rnacentral:rRNA from 1 species
GACGAACGCUGGCGGCGUGCCUAAUACAUGCAAGUAGAACGCACAGUUUAUACCGUAGCUUGCUACACCAUAAACUGUGAGUUGCGAACGGGUGAGUAACGCGUAGGUAACCUGCCUGGUAGCGGGGGAUAACUAUUGGAAACGAUAGCUGAUACCGCAUAAUAUUGAUUAUUGCAUGAUAAUUGAUUGAAAGAUGCUAUUGCAUCACUACCAGAUGGACCUGCGUUGUAUUAGCUAGUAGGUGAGGUAACGGCUCACCUAGGCGACGAUACAUAGCCGACCUGAGAGGGUGAUCGGCCACACUGGGACUGAGACACGGCCCAGACUCCUACGGGAGGCAGCAGUAGGGAAUCUUCGGCAAUGGACGAAAGUCUGACCGAGCAACGCCGCGUGAGUGAAGAAGGUUUUCGGAUCGUAAAGCUCUGUUGUAAGAGAAGAACGGGUGUGAGAGUGGAAAGUUCACACUGUGACGGUAUCUUACCAGAAAGGGACGGCUAACUACGUGCCAGCAGCCGCGGUAAUACGUAGGUCCCGAGCGUUGUCCGGAUUUAUUGGGCGUAAAGCGAGCGCAGGCGGUUAGAUAAGUCUGAAGUUAAAGGCUGUGGCUUAACCAUAGUACGCUUUGGAAACUGUUUAACUUGAGUGCAGAAGGGGAGAGUGGAAUUCCAUGUGUAGCGGUGAAAUGCGUAGAUAUAUGGAGGAACACCGGUGGCGAAAGCGGCUCUCUGGUCUGUAACUGACGCUGAGGCUCGAAAGCGUGGGGAGCGAACAGG